GAGCAAGAAGAGCUGAAAGGCAAAACAUUAUUAAAUAUGUAAUCUGAUGUGUUCAGGUUUAACCUCAGCUGAAAACAGCAGCAGACUUUUAGGACAAACUAGCUAACCUCCCUAACUCUCAGCAGAAACAUGUCUGCUGUAACUGCGUCACUCUGCUCCGCUUUGGUGUUUGUCGUGUUCGUCUCUGCAGUGUGUGUGAAGGAGACACGAGGCUGGGUGGACACUUAACAUCUGUAAUGCAGCUGUGACAGAGACAAAGAAGUGGAAUGUGUGUGUCAGUAAGUAAAUCUGGAAAUGAUUACAGCUGAGUCUGGACAGGACGUCAC